rnacentral:rRNA from 1 species
AACGAACGCUGGCGGCAGGCUUAACACAUGCAAGUCGAACGCUCUAGCAAUAGAGAGUGGCGCACGGGUGAGUAACGCGUGGGAAUGUACCAUUUGGUGGGGAAUAACUCCGGGAAACUGGAGCUAAUACCGCAUACGCCCUUCGGGGGAAAGAUUUAUCGCUAAAUGAUCAGCCCGCGUGAGAUUAGGUAGUUGGUGGGGUAAUGGCCUACCAAGCCGACGAUCUCUAGCUGGUCUUAGAGGAUGACCAGCCACACUGGAACUGAGACACGGUCCAGACUCCUACGGGAGGCAGCAGUGGGGAAUAUUGGGCAAUGGGCGAAAGCCUGAUCCAGCCAUGCCGCGUGGGUGAAGAAGGCCUUAGGGUUGUAAACCCCUUUCAGCGGGGAAGAUAAUGACGGUACCCGCAGAAGAAGUCCCGGCUAACUCCGUGCCAGCAGCCGCAGUAACAC